UCAAAAAUAGCUUCUGUAAUUUGUUCUUUUCACAAGAAGUAAAAUUCUUGUGUUAUUUUUUAUUCUCUGUACCUUGCGAAUAACUCAUAACUUAGGAGUUCCCAAGUUAUGUUCAUUCCUCCAUUGCAAUCUCUGUCCCACCCUUCCCUUUCUUUCCAUUUCCGUUGCAAUGUAAUGUAAGGUUAAGAGCAUGGAAUGCAAGAGGUGCCAGUUUCAACUCUAGCUCUACUGUUUCUAGCUCUGUGUCCUCGAGCACAUUAUGUCCCGUACUCUUGCCUCAGUUAUACCAUCUGUGUGUAAUAAUGAUAAUACUACCUCCUUUAUAGGGUUGGUUAACUAAUGGUCUGUUUUAUAAAGGUCUAAAAACAUUGUAUACGUUGAAGGGCUUUUAAAAAUGCUGUACUUUUAGCCAGGUAAAAAUUCGGUUAAGAAUUCAAACUAGCAAAAGAUGAUUCUACUUUGGCCCAAAGGCAGUGGUUUCCUGGGUUUGUGUCAUCUUGCUUUGCAGCGUGUAGACAAUUCUUCAGGAGUUGCAGAGAGAAAAAUAACAUGCCAGAUUUUGGGGUCACAGUGCCAUCUGCUGAAGAAAGGAGUGUUGCUCGAACAAUGAGUCCACAUGAUCACAAUUUGCGGCAGAAUGCUAUGUCCUUACAUGGUAGAAGAACAGAAGAGAAUGAACCUUGAUAUGGUUUGGCUGUGUCCUCACCCAAAAUCUCAUCUUGAAUUGUAAUCCCCAUAAUCUCCAUGUGUCAAGGGAAAGACCAGGUGGAGAUAAUUGAAUCAAGGGGGCGGUUUCGCCUACUCUGUUUUCGUGAUAGUGAGUGAGUUCUCACGAGGUCUGAUGGUUUUGUGUUUGGUAGUUCUUCCUGCAUUUAUUCUUGAUCUUGCCGCCCUGUUAAGAAGGUGCCUUGCUUUCCCUUCACCUCCCGCCAUGAUUGUAAGGUUCCUGAGGCCUCCCCAGCCAUGUGGAACUGCGAGUCAAUUAAACCUCUUUCCUUUCUAAAUUACCCAGUGUUGGGCAGUUCUUUAUAGCAGUGGGAGAAUGGACCAACACAAACUCGUUCCCUCAAGCCCUUCUAUAAGAGACCCAAUCCCAUUCUUGAGGGCUCUGUCCUCAGACUUAAAGACCCCCGCCUCAUUGUAAAACCACAUUGGCCAUUAAAUUUCAACUACGAACUCUGGAGGACACAUUCAAAUCAUAGCAGCUUCCUUGAUGGGAGUAACAUAGACGCUGAGUCUUAAGGAUAGGCAGACGGUAGAAUGCAGCUGGCUGAACAAUAGGAGAAAGGCAUCAUAGGCAGCAGGAAAAGCAAGUGCAAAGGCCCUGAGGCAGGAGGGAGCGUGUAGCAUUCACAGAAUGGAGGCCCAAGAGGGUGAAGCACAGUGAGUGAGGGGAAAGAUGGUCCAAAACAAGGUCAGGGAGGGAGGCUAGGCCCUGGUAAGAAAUUUAAGUGCAAUGGGAAAACAAUGAAACAUUUCAAACAGCGUUAUGGAAAAACCAUUUGCAAAAUUGUUUAGCUAAAUACAAACUGACAGUACUUAACAUUACCCAGCACAGUAAGAUUCAAAAGAAGUGCAAAAUAUUCGGAAGGUGGAUUUGAAUGAUUUAAGUCUGGGGAACACUGUCAUGUUCCUCGGGUGCCCUCUGCAGGCGCCAAACCAAAUUGCUGCGUGAUCCUGGGGAUUUGCUCCUUCUUGCCUCUCACUCCUCAUGGCCAGCAUGGAAGAGGAAUCU
rnacentral:lncRNA from 1 species